rnacentral:rRNA from 1 species
UACGAAGGGGGCUAGCGUUGUUCGGAAUUACUGGGCGUAAAGCGCGUGUAGGUGGUUGUCCAAGUUGGAUGUGAAAGCCUUGAGCUCAACUCAAGAAAUGCAUUCAGGACUGGGCGACUAGAGGACCGGAGAGGAUAGUGGAAUUCCCAGUGUAGUGGUGAAAUACGUAGAGAUUGGGAAGAACACCAGUGGCGAAGGCGGCUAUCUGGACGGUUUCUGACACUAAGACGCGAAAGCGUGGGGAGCAAACAGG